rnacentral:tRNA from 1 species
GGUUCCAUAGUAUAGUGGUUAGCAUGUCUGCUUUAUACACAGACGGUCCUGGGUUCAUGCCCCAGUGGAGCCA